AAAGUAUGCAAGCCUCCGAUGAUAUUCGUAAUCUUCCAAUCGACAUCACAUUCUCCCGUCUUGGUGAAUGGCUCGUCGAUCGGAAAAGAAUCCCUGCUGAUUGGCGUAAGCGUUUGGCAGCGUUGAGAGUUCGCAUAUCCAAGGAGUUCUUGUCGCUCCCCAAAGAUACCGAUCCCUAUUUCCAUUCCUUAGACCAUGAAGAUAUUGGUUAUUU
rnacentral:misc_RNA from 1 species